rnacentral:pre_miRNA from 1 species
AGUGGAAUUGCUGGGUCAUAUGCUGUUUAAUUUUCUAAGGAUCUAUAAGACUUUUUCCCAAUGUGGCCACACCAUUUUACAUUCCUACCAUCAAU